UAUUAUUUGACGCGUAGAAAUUGAGUACCUGAGUAGUGAUAGUUAUGAUCUUGAAACUCAAAGAAUUUGGCGGUGUUUUAGUCCUUUCAGAGGAAUCUGUCCUGUAAUUGAUAGUACACGAUUUUAUUUACUUAAUUUGGUAGAUCAAUUUAUAUACCGCCGUAGUAAGAUUAUCUUGUGGAGAGUGUAAAAUUUCUUUAUUUGUUUUUAUAAAAUAUGUCAGGUCAAUGUGUAGCUAAUGAUUAAGUAGAGAUGGAUUACAAUAAAUGUAUUUAUUAUGGAUAGUUGGUUUAAGUUAAAUUAGAAGGUGGGUUUGAUUGUAAAUUAAUCGAGGUUGGUUUUUUGAUUAUGGUUCUAAAACGAGCACACAUCGCCCGUCGCUCUCGUUUUAAAAUGAG
rnacentral:rRNA from 1 species